GAUGAACGCUGGCGGCGUGCCUAAUACAUGCAAGUCGAGCGAACAGACGAGGAGCUUGCUCCUCUGACGUUAGCGGCGGACGGGUGAGUAACACGUGGAUAACCUACCUAUAAGACUGGGAUAACUUCGGGACACCGGAGCUAAUACCGGAUAAUAUAUUGAACCGCAUGGUUCAAUAGUGAAAGACGGUUUUGCUGUCACUUAUAGAUGGAUCCGCGCCGCAUUAGCUAGUUGGUAAGGUAACGGCUUACCAAGGCAACGAUGCGUAGCCGACCUGGGAGGGUGGUCGGCCACACUGGAUCUGAGACACGGUCCAGACUCCGACGGGAGGCAGCAUUAGGGAAUCGGCCGCAAUGGGCGAAAGCUUGACGGAGCAACGCCGCGUGAGUGAUGAAGGUCUGCGGAUCGUAAAACUCUUUUAUUAGGGAAGAACAAAUGUGUAAGUAGCUAUGCACGUCUUGACGGUACCUAAUCAGAAAGCCACGGCUAACUACGUG
rnacentral:rRNA from 1 species